rnacentral:misc_RNA from 1 species
GAGUUACAAGUCGGAAGGCGUGGAGGGAGGACAGCUGCUAGAUCUAACGAAACAUGGCGCCGUGGGGGUGGAAGUGAGGAAGGGGUAGACGGACGCUGGGCAGGGAAGGGAACUGCAUACUGUGUUACUGUAUACUACGCACCUGGAGCUGGCGAACUGGGAGAGCUUUCCCGUGGAGGAGAAGACGAUGAGCGCGACGUCGGCAUCGCACAGCACGGAGAGCUCCUCAGCCUUCUUGAAGAGGCCGCGGCGGCGCUUGGAGAACGUGACCUGCCGCGCCGCCGCGCUCUCUAUCCUCUUUAUCUCCCGACGCUCCCUCGCCAUACCCCGCCGCCGAUCCCUGAUCUCCGUGGACGACGCAGACACUCGGCCGCCGACCCACAAGAGAGAGGGCGGGUGUGGAAGAGCUCGGAGCAGCAAAGCCAACCGGCGGUUGGGAGUCGUGGUGUGUGAUGCGGAAGGAGAGG